rnacentral:rRNA from 1 species
GACGAACGCUGGCGGCGUGCUUAACACAUGCAAGUCGAACGAUGAAGCCGGAGCUUGCUCUGGUGAAUUAGUGGCGAACGGGUGAGUAACACGUGAGUAACCUGCCCUUGACUCUGGAAUAACUGCGGGAAACUGUAGCUAAUACCGGAUACGACCCUCGGAGGCAUCUCCUGGGGGUGGAAAGAAUUUCGGUCAAGGAUGGACUCGCGGCCUAUCAGCUAGUUGGUGAGGUAAAGGCUGACCAAGGCGACGACGGGUAGCCGGCCUGAGAGGGUGACCGGCCACACUGGGACUGAGACACGGCCCAGACUCCUACGGGAGGCAGCAGUGGGGAAUAUUGCACAAUGGGCGCAAGCCCGAUGCAGCAACGCCGCGUGAGGGAUGACGGCCUUCGGGUUGUAAACCUCUUUUAGCAGGGAAGAAGCGAAAGUGACGGUACCUGCAGAAAAAGCACCGGCUAACCACGUGCCAGCCGCCGCCGUAA